UACGUAGGGGGCAAGCGUUGUCCGGAUUUAUUGGGCGUAAAGAGCGUGUAGGCGGCCAGAUAGGUCCGUUGUGAAAACUCGAGGCUCAACCUCGAGAUGUCGGCGGAAACCACUUGGCUAGAGUCCGGAAGAGGAGAGUGGAAUUCCUGGUGUAGCGGUGAAAUGCGCAGAUAUCAGGAAGAACACCUAUGGCGAAGGCAGCUCUCUGGGACGGUACUAACGCUGAGACGCGAAAGCGUGGGGAGCGAACAGG
rnacentral:rRNA from 1 species